GGUCCCACCUCUCUCUAAGCCUCAUUUAAGGGCUGGCUGCCACAAGGGAAGGUUCUCUGCCUUCCGAUCCUUCCUUCUGGAGUAUUUGAUGAGCCUUGAUCCUUGGGAUGGGUUUGAACACAAUGAGAAUAUUUGCUGCACAAGACUCCAGGAAAAAAAGAUGCUGCAGACAAAAACUAAAAUAUAAGAGCUUCUGAGAGACCUGAUCAUGUAGGAGGUCCUGGUGUGUGUACUUUGGAGCAACCAGUGCUCAAAUGAUCGUAGGAAGAAAGGAACACCAUCAUUAAGAGGCGGAGAGGCUGACAACGUUGUGGUGUUGGUUUCUAAGAAGUCAGGAUUCAACCACAACUACAGGAAUAUUUCUUGAUUUUCAGAGAAAAACAUAAUAGGGGAGUGAGUUCUUGACUGACCACAUGCCAACAUUCUUAAAAUUACUUUAUCCUUUCAUUUCACAAAAAAAAUCCAAAACAAGCAAACAAAAAAACCCAGGCUACUAGUUCAAGGAGAUCCUUUAUUGAACUUCAAUAUAAUUUAUCUUAUUUGCCCAGAGCGAUUGUGGAUGCCCUCUCCCUGGAGGUGUUCAAGACCAGGCUGGAUGGGGCCCUGGGCAGCCUGGUUUAGUAUUACAUGUGGAGGUUGGUGGCCCUGCCUGUGGCAGGGGGUUGGAGCUUGAUGCUCCUUGUGGUGCCUUCCAGCCCAAGUCAUUCUAUGAUGAUUAUGAUUAUUUGGUUAUUUCAAAGAACAUUGAUUUCCUUAAAUGGAAACCCAAUUGGAGAAAUUUCUUCAUGAAAAUGCUGAAGUACAGAAAAUGCAGUGUCUUGAAGAGAUUAUAAUUUAUUCUUCAUAUUCAGUCAAUUGAGUUAAAUCCCACAGAAAUUCAAAAAUGCUGCAGACCUGAAUCUGAAUACCUCAGAGGAAAAAUUGCAUUCAGCUUUAAUUUUCGUCAAGUACAGCAGUAAGGGAUAUUACCAUUUACUGUUAUAUAUAUAUAAAUUCCAAGUUUAAAGUAGUGUCUUGACUGGGAUUUAAAUUCCAGAGAGGUGAGGGGAAAACAAAUGAGUAGAUGAAUACAGUACAGGCAUUCCUUCUGUUAAUGUGUUUUUAAAGUUGGAGGAGUUAUAUCUAUUUUUACGAAAAUUUGACUCCACUUUCUAGAUCUGAUCCUUGAAAUUGUGGGGACUUUGUCAAUAGCUUUGUGAAAUGUUUUGCAUUUCAAGUGAAAGAAAUUCUGAUAUUCAACAGCUAAGAUGUGUAGCACUAAAGGUGCAGAUCUGUGUAUUACUUCCUGAAAUUGGUGGUUCCAGCUGAAGUGCUUGGCAUCCUCUUGACUGAAGGAGAGAUCAAAAUCAUUGCAAACUUUUCCGAUAUGUACUGGCAGGAGUAAUUGUUCUGAAUGGAGAAAUGUACAAGAUGUUUAGUCACUGUCCCUGGAGGCAUUCAAGAAACUUGUAGAUGUGGUACUAAGGGACGUGGUUUAGCAUAGAAAUACUGGUGGUAGGUGGAUGGUUGGGCUGGCUGAUCUUGGCGAUUGUUUCCAACCUUGGCGAUUCUAUGUCAGUCUUCCAGAUGUCAUCAAUAAUAAACGGUACGUCUCACUUAAAA